CGCGCGCCGAUUUUUUCCGCAAGCCGGCCUGCACGGGGUGAGAGGACGAGCAGCAACGCAUUCACCGGAAGAAGCGAGGCACCAGCUGACAACGCGCUGUAGCGAAGUCCAUUCUGCAGCUGCAGCAUGAGGAGGAAGAACAAUCCGUUGAGCGCUGCGUAGACGAGAAGCGUAUUGACGUUGGCACCCACAAACUGUCGUGACUGGAAAACAUCCAGUGGAAGCAGUGGAUUGCCGACCUUCGACUCCACAAUGAAGAACGCAGC
rnacentral:misc_RNA from 1 species